rfam:Loxodonta africana unplaced genomic scaffold scaffold_9, whole genome shotgun sequence.
GCAGUGGUGGUUCAAUGGUAGAAUUGUUGCCUUCCAUGUGGGAGACCUGGGUUUGAUCCCCGGCCAAUGCA